UUUCAGAUGAAUCUGGAGCAGGAGAGAAGUCUCAGAUUAACUUCUGAAAAAUGUGAUGAAAAAUCAGUGGCUGAACAGGGAAGAAAUACUCCGGUUAGUGCCCUCGUCGGGCAGGAAACACACAGAUCUGCUUGGAUGAUGAGGAAGAUGAAGUGUUCCUGGGAACUCUUCAGGCRAGGCGGCAGCAAGGGAGAGAAAGCAGCUGGUGAAAAUGCAAGGAUGCUUCCCAAAACCACUCGGGAGGAAGGAAACAAGCAGGAAGCAAAGAAGAGAGGGAAACUGAAAAAUGUGGCAGGCAAAUUGCUAAAGGCUAUUGCUAGUGGGAAAGAAGCAGAAGAAAAGAAGCCUGAAAAUGAGAAUUUGGCAGGGAAUUUGCUGAAGAUUGCAACAUGUAGGAAGGAAGUAGAAGGAAAGAAGUCUGCAGGAGUGUUUCCCUGUGAUGUUCUUAUUUUUAUGGCUGCAAAGACUCCUGAUGCAUCUUGUGAAAAAAGAUGAUGCACAUGUGACCUACACUGUGUAGGCUGUGACUGUGCUUCUUCUAUGAAUGUGGAGAGGAGAGGAAACCAUCUGUGGAUUCAUUGAGCAAGGGAAAUUUUUUCAAGCCUGUAAACAUAUUUAUAAUCUGGAGCAUUCUGGAAGUGAUGGUAUGGGAAAGUCUGAAUCCCUUUAUAAACUACUGGCUGAACGGAUGUGGUCCAUCGUGGGAAAAGCAUUCAGUGGAAGCGACAGGAUGUUACUGGAGCCGUUGCAGUCAGUGGGCGAAUCACUGAAGUGGGAGAAGCAGAAGAAAGAGGAGUGGUUUGGUAGAAGACAAGGGCUGGAGACUCUUUCCACCUGGAGUCCAAGAUUCUGGAAGAAAGACCUAGAGAAAAAGCUAAUAAAGUACAUGACAGUCCAGAUUCCUCCCUUUGGUUCCACUAGUAACACAGACGAGACUGCAUUAAAACAGCAUCUGAGUCAACUGGAAAUGACAUUUCUGCCCAGCCUGGAGCGCAAAAGUGGUUUCUUCGAGGAAGCAGGCCUGCUUGUCAUGUAUGCCCGGUGCUUUCAUGCCUGCUUGUCUUCUCAUCUUUCCACCCUUACCGACAAUAACCAUGUUAGCUUCAGCCAAUGUCUUUUAGUUUAUGAAUGGUGUCUUAACAUGUACAAAAGUGGCAACAGGACAUUGCUGGGACCCAGCCAGACCCCACACCACCGCCUUUCCCUUGACGCACAGUGCCUCAUGCGGAUUAUUUUGAAGACAGAGGAAAAGUUACUUGCAAUCACCCAGAAGGAGGUAGGGGAAGCCCUGAAAGAAGCCUUUGACAUUGGGAAACCCCCUUGUGCCAGUGCUGCAGUCAUUCAGGUAUUAACAGAGAAGACAGAGGCUGCCCAGCGCAUCAGUGAGAGCCUGAGGGAGCGAGUGGGAGCUGUGUGCCUGGAGGAGUGCCUGAGCUUCCUCGAGAGCUAUGGAAAUGAAAUAAGAAGCUUUCUCCAGCUCCAUGGCGGCCUUGGGGUCUGCAGCAGCCUACAAAUCCUCGAGAACUGCUACAUUCUCAGAGCUGCCUGGCAUAAGCUAACGUAUGUUUGCAGUGCCAGCACUGGUCAGGAUGUUAAGGUAAAAGGAUUUCUAGACCAGAUAGAGGAUGAGACUGUAGAACAUCUUCUGCAGAUAAUCACUUCUAAAGUCAAGAGAACACUGAAGGAUCACUUCAAAAAAUGUGACAGUGGUUUAGGUCACAUCCUAGAAUCCUUAAAGCAAAGCUUUUUGGCAUUUGAAAGGAAAAAUACAGGCAUAUAUGAGAUUCUUGUUAAGGCUGUCAACGUCACCAUUAUUACAGAAUAUGUGCGGGCCCUCCUGACCAUUUCCAGGAAACCAUCUUCUAGGCAGAGGAGGAGGAUUGUCAGCAAAAUAGAAGAAGAUCAUAGGAUGCUGCAAACCAUCUUUAAAGAGUGCUUAGGUCCUAAAGAAGGUUCCCUCAAGGAUCCAAUAAAAGCAAUUCUAGGACUUAUUCAAACUUCUGAUGCUGAGGGAAUGAAAAUAGCCCUUCUGCCCAUUCUCAGAGAAUUUCCUGAUCUAAGGUGGCCAAAGGGUGUUGAAAAGCAGUUCGACAGCUUCCAGACUUUGGUUUGGCCCAGCAAAACUGGGUCCUAG
rnacentral:lncRNA from 1 species